rnacentral:ncRNA from 1 species
AAGAGCCGUAUAAGCCGAGAGGUUUACGUACGGUUCUGUGGGAGCCCAGGGGUGAAAUUCCCCUGGGCGACCCGAC